GUGUGUGUGUGUGUGUGUGUGUGUCUGUGUAGGUUUUUCUGGACAGCAUGUACUAUGAGAGAACACUUCCUAUGAAUAGCUGAUUGGGUUGAAAUAGGUAGGUACUAGAGUUACCAGAGAAACUGAGGAUUUGCCAAUGUCAAGGCCAUGUAU